UUCAGGGCUGAGCUUAAAUAGACACUGUCUUUCUUGAGGGUCACAUCACGGGUGACAACCAAACUAGAAAAUGAAGUCGUGGAUGUUGGGUUUCUAUGCAGUUCUGCUGCUGUGGCUUCUGGUCUUGUUUUCAAGUCAAGCUGUCUAACAACUACAGAUACUAAAGUUCCUCUGAAGAAUCUGCUUAGCUACACAAUCCAGAGCAAACCCUUGUUCUCUGUGGAUGCUGCGAGAUUUCUUACAAUCAAAAGAAAAAUAAUCUGCUCAGAUCCCUCCUCAUCACGGGCCAAAAAAGCAAUGAGUUACCUGGAUGAAAAGAACAAAAAACUGCAGUCAGUAUCAAACAAAACAGCUCAUCAUUCUGUGACUGGUUUCAAAGAAUAUGUCAACCACAAAUACAACAUCAGCUCAGAGGUAACAUAUUAAUAAGACAUUUGAAUGCAAUUUAUUUGAAUUAAAAUAAUUUGCCUAUAAAUCAUCUUGUAAGUAAAGAAACCAGAUUUCCAUUAAAAUUUACUGCAGAGUUCAAGAAAACAUUGUGUGUUAUUGCAAUUUAAUACCCUUUACAAUUACUAUUAAGUAUUUAUGUUCAGUCUAAAGGUAUUUUAAAAUGUUCAUUAAUAUGCACAUUUACAGCUCUACAAACCAAUAUGCACUCCUCCAGUGGAGAACUCACAGAAAAUAGAAAUAAGAGGACACACAACACACAAAACAGAAAUCCCAAGAAUCAAACCACUGGAACAGGACUGGAGAGGAUCUUCUGAAACCACAGAGACAGUUCAGCUGGAUGGGCCGAAAUGGGAGGAAGGGGGAGAGACAGAGUCUUUAUUAAUGUCAUCAACCAUCAUGCAUGAGCCAUAUAUUAUCAGUGGUUACUUUUGCUUAAGGGAGAAGUUUAAAUACUUGGGGUCUUAAUUAUAUAAUUUGCAGCCCUAAAUAUGAGUGAAAUUUUAUGCAUGAGAAUAUUUGCCAAUAUUUGACAACUAUUUAGAUUUUAUCUGUAUCUGUAUGGAAACAUUUUGGUAUGCAGUGCCUUUUUAACCACGACUUAUAAUGAAAACCUGUGUGGAGAAGAUAUUUUUAGCAUUGCAUUAAGAAAAAGAUGUCAAUUUUGUCGUCCGCAAGGUUUUGUAGUGAUUUAUGGUGCAUUCUAGACAACUUUAUAAGAUGCCAGCAACAAUUGAGAACGCUGAAUUCCAAUUGCUUUUAAAAUACACUCACCUGGUAAUCAGAAAUUAAUGGGAAGGUCACUGAAAAAUGUUCAAGGCUGUUUUGCUUAGCAAUAUAAUUGUAAUUGUAAACAAAAAUAAUCAUCUUAAUGACACUGGACUGACCUGCACAUAUGGGCUUUAGUAAGGCACUUGUAUUAA